GGCCCCAUAGUUCAAGGGAUAGAAUAGAAGUUUCCUAAACUUUAGAUACAGGUUCGAGUCCUGUUGGGGCUACCA
rnacentral:tRNA from 1 species